rnacentral:rRNA from 1 species
AAUUCGAUUGAGUUUGAUCAUGGCUCAGAUUGAACGCUGGCGGCAUGCCUAACACAUGCAAGUUGAACGGCAGCACAGCUUAAGCUUGCUUAAGUGGGUGGCGAGUGGCGGACGGGUGAGUAAUGCAUCGGGACCUACCUGAACGUGGGGGAUAACGUAGGGAAACUUACGCUAAUACCGCAUACGUCCUACGGGAGAAAGCGGGGGACCUUCGGGCCUCGCGCGGUCAGACGGACCGAUGUUCGAUUAGCUAGUUGGUAAGGUAAUGGCUUACCAAGGCGACGAUCGAUAGCUG